AGGUGGCCUUUUCAGAGUGUGAAAGUGCCUCUCCACAUGACUGCUACCCGCUAACACCAGAAGACUACCUGGCAGAUAAUGAAGAUUCAGAGAAGGAGAGCAAGAAUACUGAGAUGUCAGACAACUCUCUGAUCAUCUCUUUGGAGAAUGGCAAAAAUGUCAUCAGUGAUGAUGAAAAAGACCAGGAGGAACAAGUGUGAAUGUGUGGCCUGAGCUGAAAAGGCUCUGACUUGAACCCAUGAAGACCUGGACCUGGACCCCAUCCUGGAUCCCAGAGGGGAUGGAGCCCCCACAGCUCCAGGAGCCUCCUCUGGACCAGACCAGGGGAGGCCUCACUGCUUCUCUCCUGAGGGUCCUCAUUUAGUACAGCUUCAAUUGUUAUGUUGUAUAGAUUUAGCAUUAUUUUUAUCUACAUGUGCCAUAUGUAUCUAUAUGUUCCAUAUUUAUAUGUAAGUUUUUGCAUUAAAUGUUUAAAAUCUAUUUGUUAUUUUUAAAAUAUUUGUUUUUAAAAACACACAUGUAUAGAAUAGCACCCUCAGCAGAAGGAGAACUUAAUGAAUUGUUGUUAGCCAGGUAUUUACAUCUGUCCUUAUGUCAUUGUCUUCAAGAAUUCUGUUUUCUCAUGUCUGCUCACUCCACUAGUCAUAAGAGAUCAAUGUUAUCCUAGCUCUUUCAUGACUUGCACGUCAGGAUUUUUUGAAACUCAGUCUGUUUUGGGGAUAAAAAUUUCAAGAUCCAUCAUUGAUCUUCUUGUGCAACUUAAAUGUGUUUCUCUCUUUUCUUCUAACACAGAAAAUUUCUCUCCAAAAAGCCUCUUAAAAUUCUAGUCUUUAUUCCCUUAUACUUCUCCUGCUCUUUUAUUCCAGCUGCCCAAAGGACUGUUCUCAUCGUCUAUAUUCUUAUGAUGUAAGUCUUGUCCCCCAAACUCAUUUAGUUUGUAAGGAAAGUUUGUAAGUCAGUCUGUUUCACCUAGCUCUCUUAUCACCUCAACCCUGUCCUCUCUGGUAACUGCUCUUUUGUUCUCUGUAUCAAUGACUGCAUUUCUGUUUGUAGUUUGGUUCAUUGAUUUUGAUUUCUGGUUUCUACAUGCAAGUGACAUCACACUGUAUUUGUCACUCUGACUUAUUUUCCUUAGCAUAAUAUGCUCUAGGUCCAUCCAUGUUGUCUCAAAUGACAAGAUUUCAUUUUUCUUUAUGCCUGAGUAAUAAUCCAUGCAUACCACAUCUUGUCUGUUCAUCUCUUGAUACAUGCUUUGAAAAAAUACCCAUAAGUGGAAUUUCUGGAUCUUAUGGUAUUUUUAUUUUUAAUUUUUUUUGAAAACUCUGUACUUAGUGUAUAUAACUUAAGAUGUUACCCAAUAAUGCACUCAAAUACCUAAUGUUGCUAUUUUCUGUAACUGAAUUAUUUACAGUGACCCUUAAAUGCCUAUAAAAAUUG